rnacentral:rRNA from 1 species
GACGAACGCUGGCGGCGUGCUUAACACAUGCAAGUCGAACGGAAAGGCCCUGCUUUUGUGGGGUGCUCGAGUGGCGAACGGGUGAGUAACACGUGAGUAACCUGCCCUUGACUUUGGGAUAACUUCAGGAAACUGGGGCUAAUACCGGAUAGGAGCUCCUGCUGCAUGGUGGGGGUUGGAAAGUUUCGGCGGUUGGGGAUGGACUCGCGGCUUAUCAGCUUGUUGGUGGGGUAGUGGCUUACCAAGGCUUUGACGGGUAGCCGGCCUGAGAGGGUGACCGGCCACAUUGAGACUGAGAUAGGGCCCAGACUGCUACGGGAGGCAGCAGUGGAGAAUAUUGCACAAUGGGCGGAAGCCUGAUGCAGCAACGCCGCGUGCGGGAUGACGGCCUUCGGGGUGUAAACCGCUUUCGCCUGUGACGAAGCGUGAGUGACGGUAAUGGGUAAAGAAGCACCGGCUAACUACGUG